rnacentral:rRNA from 1 species
UACGGAGGGUGCAAGCGUUAUCCGGAUUCACUGGGUUUAAAGGGCGCGCAGGCGGCUUUGUAAGUCAGUGGUGAAAGGCUUAAGCUUAACUUGGGAACUGCCAUUGAUACUAUAAGUCUUGAAUGUUGUUGAGGUUUGCGGAAUGGGUCAUGUAGCGGUGAAAUGCAUAGAUAUGACCCGGAACACCUAUUGCGAAGGCAGCAGGCUAAACAAAUAUUGACGCUGAGGCUCGAAAGCGUGGGGAUCAAACAGG